CCGCCGGCCGCCGUCGCCGGAAUCCCAAUCCUCACCAAAAUUUCCAGAUUUUCUUCUCUUCAUCCCCUCUUUCCAAUUCUCCAACCAAAAUCAAGAAAUUUGGCCAUCCAACCCUCCAAAAACCUUAGAACCCGAAGCUAAAUUGGGGCUUUUUGUGAUUUCUUCUUUCCAAGUUCAAAUCAAGAGGCUAGGCUAUGGGUUUGGCAAGGAUUUGUGGUGAAGAAGGCCAAUGAGGAGGAUUAGGCCAUGAGUUUUGAAGAAGAAAGGUGUGCAGGUUUCGAGCAUGUGGUCGGGAAGCGUACAGGGGAGGCACAUGGCCCGGCUUGGCGCAUUUCUCUUUAGUUUUAUCAAAAGGAAGGUUUUGGUCCCUUAUCGGAUUUUGAAGUAACUUGGUUAUUUAUUUUCUCACUAAUUCAUUUGUUUAUUUGUUUUCUAUUCGCUCAUUUACAAAAUUUCGAGAGACCCGUAACCCUGGGGCGCGUCUCUCAUACUUGUUUUCACUUUGUGAUUUGUUAUUUUCUAAAUUGGACUCCUAUUGUAAGCCCAAAUCUUUUAGCUCACUUUAAAAAUUCCGCUUGCGAAAAUAUGUUGUUCGGUUGCUAGAAUG